rnacentral:sRNA from 1 species
AUGGCUGUCGUCAGCUCGUGUCGUGAGAUGUUCGGUUAAGUCCGGCAACGAGCGCAACCCACAUCCCUAGUUGCCAGCAGUUCGGCUGGGCACUCUAUGGAAACUGCCCGUGAUAAGCGGGAGGAAGGUGUGGAUGACGUCAAGUCCUCAUGGCCCUUACGGGUUGGGCUACACACGUGCUACAAUGGUAGUGACAAUGGGUUAAUCCCCAAAAACUAUCUCAGUUCGGAUUGUCGUCUGCAACUCGACGGCAUGAAGUCGGAAUCGCUAGUAAUCGCGUAACAGCAUGACGCGGUGAAUACGUUCCCGGGCCUUGUACACACCGCCCGUCACACCAUGGGAGUUGGUUCUACCCGACGGCCGUGCGCUAACCUUUUGGAGGCAGCGGACCACGGUAGGAUCAGCGACUGGGGUGAAGUCGUAACAAGGUAGCCGUAGGGGAACCUGCGGCUGGAUCACCUCCUUUCUAAGGAUUAUCCUAGUUGGCAAACUUGUUUGUCACAUGGGUUACUUAGCAGAAGCAGCAAACAAAGCUGCAUAUUUGAGCCAGACUGUCCUCGUAUCUCUUCAGCAUUACAUCAGACCUGCCGGUCUGGACUGGGUCGGUAGCUCAGGUGGUUAGAGCGCACGCCUGAUAAGCGUGAGGUCGGAGGUUCAAGUCCUCCUCGACCCACCACUAAUCAAAGGGUUGGGUAAAUAAGUCAGCAUGCGAUUGUAAUAUGGGGCCUUAGCUCAGCUGGGAGAGCGCCUGAUUUGCAUUCAGGAGGUCAGGAGUUCGAUCCUCCUAGGCUCCACCAUUACCAAUUUGAGUGCUAAACAGUAGUACUGUUUAGCCGUCCAAUUGGGCGAUUUUGACAUCGUGAAGAGAGAUACAAAUAUAGCUUUUUUGGAGUUUACGUGUUAGUGAACUUCUCACUUAGUGAAGCACAAUUGUGUGGACAGUUAGUGUACAAUGGUCUUUUCCUCGACCGUACCCUAAUUUGCUUUGUGAAACAGAGAAAGUUAUCCAAGUCAAAUACACUAACCAAGCAUUUUUCAGGGUAUUCCUGAAAAUGCGGGAAAGUAUAAAAUUAUGACUUUUGACCAGAAAAGUGGAGCCCUGAACCAGCGGUUCCUUGCAGCUAGUCUGACUUUUUCUGGAUCAAAUCAAGCGCGAGAAGGGCGUUUGGUGAAUGCCUUGGCAGUAAGAGGCGAUGAAGGACGUGAUACUCUGCGAUAAGCGUAGGUGAGCCGAGAAUAGGCUUUGAUCCUGCGAUUUCCGAAUGGGGAAACCCGG